UCUUCCAAACUAGCUAUAGUGUUGAACUCUCUUACAAAUCACCUCUACCUCACUUUCACUCAGACGCCCACUGUCACCUCUACCUCCACCUCACUACUGCAAUCUCAAUCUCUUUGACGAUUGAAGACCAGUGAAGUACCAUGGCUCUCUGCCAUGAAGACCAAGUAAUUCUCCAAGUGUCUGCAGCAAAGGCUUUGUAUCAAGAAACUUUAGCAAUGAACGCCUCUCCAAACAAUUUUACCUUAAAGAAAGGAAAUGGAAACUCUGCACAGGAACAAAAACACACAGCUUCUUUUGAGCACUAAUGCAGAACUUCCCUCAUUUGGAGGUGGAACCAACUGAAGAUUGAUGGGGACUUCGUGGUUAUGACUGAAGGCUCUCAUUUCAUUGGAAAGUUUGGAAGCUACUGUUAGUUCUUUCAAUUUGUUGGGGAUGAGAAUCUUUUAGUUUGUGCACAAUAGAGUAUUUCAAGUUUGUGUACAUGAGAAUCUUUUAGUACUUGUUUGGGAUUUUAGUACUUGCUAUGUUUGUACUUGUUACCGACUUUUAGUUCAACAAAUUAUA